CGUAGGUGGCAAGCGUUGUCCGGAUUUAUUGGGCGUAAAGCGAGCGCAGGCGGUUCCUUAAGUCUGAUGUGAAAGCCCACGGCUUAACCGUGGAGGGUCAUUGGAAACUGGUCGACUUGAGUGCAGAAGAGGGGAGUGGAAUUCCAUGUGUAGCGGUGAAAUGCGUAGAGAUAUGGAGGAACACCAGUGGCGAAGGCGGCUUCCUGGUCUGUAACUGACACUGAGGCGCGAAAGCGUGGGGAGCAAACAGGAUUAGAUACCCGGGUA
rnacentral:rRNA from 1 species